rnacentral:rRNA from 1 species
AUUGAACGCUGGUGGCAUGCUUUACGCAUGCAAGUCGAACGGUAACAGGCCGCAAGGUGCUGACGAGUGGCGAACGGGUGAGUAAUGCAUCGGAACGUGCCCAGUCGUGGGGGAUAACGCAGCGAAAGCUGUGCUAAUACCGCAUACGAUCUAUGGAUGAAAGCGGGGGACCGUAAGGCCUCGCGCGAUUGGAGCGGCCGAUGUCAGAUUAGGUAGUUGGUGGGGUAAAGGCCCACCAAGCCAACGAUCUGUAGCUGGUCUGAGAGGACGACCAGCCACACUGGGACUGAGACACGGCCCAGACUCCUACGGGAGGCAGCAGUGGGGAAUUUUGGACAAUGGGCGCGAGCCUGAUCCAGCAAUGCCGCGUGCAGGAAGAAGGCCUUCGGGUUGUAAACUGCUUUUGUACGGAACGAAACGGUCUGGGUUAAUACCCUGGGCUAAUGACGGUACCGUAAGAAUAAGCACCGGCUAACUACGUGCCAGCCGCCGCCGUAACAC